rnacentral:rRNA from 1 species
CGCGUUUCGUAGCGGAGGACAUU